rnacentral:rRNA from 1 species
AUUGAACGCUGGCGGCAUGCUUUACACAUGCAAGUCGAACGGCAGCGCGGGCUUCGGCCUGGCGGCGAGUGGCGAACGGGUGAGUAAUACAUCGGAACGUGCCCAGUAGUGGGGGAUAGCUCGGCGAAAGCCGGAUUAAUACCGCAUACGACCUGAGGGUGAAAGCGGGGGAUCUUCGGACCUCGCGCUAUUGGAGCGGCCGAUGGCAGAUUAGCUAGUUGGUGGGGUAAAGGCCUACCAAGGCGACGAUCUGUAGCUGGUCUGAGAGGACGACCAGCCACACUGGGACUGAGACACGGCCCAGACUCCUACGGGAGGCAGCAGUGGGGAAUUUUGGACAAUGGGCGAAAGCCUGAUCCAGCAAUGCCGCGUGUGUGAUGAAGGCCUUCGGGUUGUAAAGCACUUUUGGCGGGAUCGAAAAGGACUGUGCCAAUACCACGGUUCGAUGACGGUACCCGCAGAAUAAGCACCGGCUAACUACGUG